rnacentral:rRNA from 1 species
CCUACGGGAGGCAGCAGUGGGGAAUAUUGCACAAUGGGGGGAACCCUGAUGCAGCGACGCCGCGUGGGUGAAGGAGUAUUUCGGUAUGUAAAGCCCUAUCAGCAGGGAAGAACAAUGACGGUACCUGACUAAGAAGCACCGGCUAAAUACGUGCCAGCAGCCGCGGUAAUACGUAUGGUGCAAGCGUUAUCCGGAUUUACUGGUUGUAAAGGGAGCGCAGGCGGCGCGUUAAGCCUGGUGUGAAAGUCCGCGGCCCAACCGCGGGACUGCAUUGGGAACUGGCGCGCUGGAGUGCCGGAGGGGUAGGCGGAAUACCUAGUGUAGCGGUGAAAUGCGUAGAUAUUAGGAGGAACACCAGUGGCGAAGGCGGCCUACUGGACGGUGACUGACGCUGAGGUCGAAAGCGUGGGGAGCAAACAGGAUUAGAUACCCCAGUAGUC